rnacentral:rRNA from 1 species
GCUCAGGAUGAACGCUGGCGGCGUGCUUAACACAUGCAAGUCGAACGGGGAACAUUUUAUGGAAGCUUCGGUGGAAAUAGCUUGUUCCUAGUGGCGGACGGGUGAGUAACGCGUGGGUAACCUGCCUCACACUGGGGGAUAACAGUCAGAAAUGACUGCUAAUACCGCAUAAGCGCACGGGAUUGCAUGAUCCAGUGUGAAAAACUCCGGUGGUGUGAGAUGGACCCGCGUUGGAUUAGCCAGUUGGCAGGGUAACGGCCUACUAAAGCGACGAUCCAUAGCCGGCCUGAGAGGGUGGACGGCCACAUUGGGACUGAGACACGGCCCAGACUCCUACGGGAGGCAGCAGUA